rnacentral:lncRNA from 1 species
GGAACUAUGGUUGGGACAUAAUGUAUGAGAAAAGAGUAAAAGAAAAAAUCCAAAAAUAUGACUGCUUCAUAGUGUUCAUUAUAUCUUCAAAAUAAUGGUUCAAUUUGAAUAAAUAUAAAUUUAUAUCUCUGUAACCAGAGUAAUAUCUAGUAAUUGAAUUGAUAACUUAAGAUACUCUGUACAAAUUGAGUAAAAAAAAUACCAAAGUACAUAAAGACUACAUGAUUCUUUAAUACUUAAUACUGGUAACUUAGUAUGUAUAUCUGUUUCUAUUCAAUCACCAAUAUUAAAUUAGUUUCAUUUGACCAAAUUUACCUAUUGCAUGACCUUGACCUCUUAAACGUUUGAAUUUGUACCUGCAGGUAUACAUUUUAACAUAUGGAAAUUAAAAGUUCAAUUUUUUCAUGUCUAUGAAUUUUCAGAAUAUCCCUUAUUAUAUACAGAGUAUGAAGGCAACGUAAUGGUUUCCCAUAUAAAGACAUUGUUACCAAGCAUAAUAAUUAGAUCACUGGGACCCAUCACGGUGUAAGGAAAGAACUGACGUCCUUCAGUUUUCCCCCUUGUUAUGCUUGGUUAGGGGUGGGGUUGUUUUCAUGGUCUCUGACUCAGAAACUAACUGAAAAUAUAGACUCACGCAGAUUUGCAAAUGAAACAGUAAGUUUAUUCUGAUUGGAACAAUGCUACACAGUCAAAAGGGACAUCCUAUUGAGAUUGUCAGUGGGCCCAAUGAAGUAAGGGUAAUCAAGGGGCCUAAAGGAAAGGCGGGCUAGAUACUCAGGAGCAUAGAUGUGUGAUUCUGUAUUUUGACUGGUAGAGUAGGUCAAAUAUUUAUUUUUCCUGAUGCACAUCUUCAUUCCCAUAAUGCUUCCAAUUGUAAUAACAUGUAAGUCCAAUUACAAAAAGGACAGAAACUAAAUACAGCAUUCUUCCUAAAAGGUCACUUGAAGGACUCGGUGCGCCUAAUUGUGCGGCAUCCAAAACCAGUUUGGUCCUGCUUGGCUCUUCUAUUCUUGACACCAGAUACAUCAGGAACACAUUUGAAUAGACACUGUGGAAAUCUGAUUGCUGUUAUACGUGAAGAAACUUAUGCUCUUGUUCAGAGAGAGCAUGUACUUGUAGCCUGAUGCAAGUUGGGUCCUAGCACCAUCUGGGGUUGCUUUGAGUAUUGUUUGGAAAGAAAAGUAUAUGCAUACAUCAAGCAGGUGAGGGAGUUAGGUUACCAACUAUAAGAGAUGGGUGUCUGUAAUGCAAAACCAAUAGGGUCCCAGGCCACUACCGUAUUCCCAAUGCUUGCCUGCCUCAACUUUCCCCUGAGAGACUUUCACCCUAAUUCAGAAGGGAAGCUGAAGGCAGAAGGUCAGUCUUCGUGUAACUGCUUCAUGCUGACUAGGGGUGUAGAGCUGAGUAGGGCAGAAUAGUCUCUCCUAUUCUUUCCCUAAUGCUAUGAUAUCUCCUGAGGACCCAUUGGAAGGAAUACACAAAAUUUCUCAGACUGCUAGUUCAAAGUCUACCUCGUGUGUCUUCUGGUCAUGCUCAACCAAGUUUCCCUCUGCAAAUUGAUCUGUUUGAUUGUGGGAUAUAUAUAUCAGACAAUAUAAUAUAGAUUUAUGUAUGGAAAAUAUAUAUCAUAUAGCACACAUAUGACAUAUAUAUCUUCCACAAUCCAACAUAGAUAUAUGGAUAUAUAGAGAUACAUAUAUGUAGAGGUCCCAAAAUAAGCAAGAGAAUCAGAGAGAGGAGAAACUCUCUUUUGGGAAUGCUAGAAGUAUUCACCAACUCAUAGUUGAGAGACUGAUACGUAGACUCAGUUUUAUCCACUACUCUGAGGAUAUUUUUGAUAUGUUGUCAUAUUUUCCAGGUUUAUUAAUAAAAGAAGUAUCCAUACUAGAGUUAUGUAUGAGUUCCCUUUUGUCCUGCAGUAAGUGUAAAUGGCUUUUAUUUUUGAGAAACACCUUCACAAGCAUUUUAUUUGAGCUUGAAUUUGAUCCUAUGCAGUCUCUUUAAUGGUCGUGGUGGUUUCUUUUGACAAUUGUGUAAGGUUAGGUCCAAUAAUGUAGGCCAGGAUUCAUACCUCCAGAUGGGGCUCUAUAGGGCCACCCACUGUGCUGUCAAACCAGUACCAACUAGAAGGAAGAUUCCAAGGGUGGGCCUUCUGCAAUAGACAUCUAAGCAUAAAUGACUAGACAAGUUAAGAGGAGUAACAGAAACAUGGACCAAGAAAAGGAGAAAGCUAAUGGUGGGGGACCGUUGAAAGUCUUUAAUGUCAUUCCCGCUUAAUUAUUAACUUUCUGUCUUCCUACAAGAAUCUGUUAGACCAAUUCCCACUCAGGUACUUGAGCCACUUUCAUUGUGUAGGCAAAAAGGAAAUUUAAGAGUUGAAUUCCAGGUUAAAUGUGAGCAUCAGGGCCUAGUGGGAAGAAAGAUGCUACUUUCUUCGGGGUUGACUCAGAAAUGGGCCCUCAUCUUAAGUAUGUUUCCUGGUCUUUCUCUUGGACUGAUUGCUGGUAGCUGGUUGGUUUCUAAAAGGAUUGCACCCGUGUUUUCCCUUGCAAAUAAGUUUCUGGUAAGGCCCAGCCCUACGUUAAUGCUAAAUGCUCAUAACUCCUCUUCAGAACAGGAAGACAUAAGCAAUAAGGCUUAGUGAAAUUUAAAAGGGAUGAAAUGAAAUUAAUCAAACUGAAAGUACCAGGUUCCCUACACAGCUGUGGUUCAAUUAAAAUAAUAGGGAGAGAAGCUUAGAGAAAGUGUUAAGAUGAGGUGAGGUUGAAGCCACCAUCCCGGGUCACUUUAUUUAACUUGAGAUUGUUUUCUGAAGAGAGGCCAUUGAUACUAACUUCCUAUCUUUAUUGGUUCUUGGUGGGCUUCCCGUGAUUCUUCUGGGGUGAUAAUGUCUGCUAGAGGCAGUGAGGAUCUUUCUGGGCUGCCCUAGUCAGCCAUCCUUUCCAUAGCUACUCUUAGAUGUCCCUUGCCUAUUCCUAUGCCAAGGAGAUGGUUUCUUGAAAGACACAACAUGGUUUGCUUGGAGGUCUGUUGAAGGCUUUUCCCAGUGCCCAGCCUUUGUCUAAACUUUGGAAGUCCCAUCAAAGGCACGCCCAAUUAUGACAGUCAUCAUUUUGGCUUGUGUUUUAUCUCUUCACUCAUUUUCUUUCUUCCUUUAGGUUCUGAUUUCUAUAGACAGUGAAUGGCAUGGCUGACUCAGUGGAUCUGGGCUUCCAUAUGUCAUUUUUGUAAUUCCUUUCUUGUAUCAGAGACAGAUUGGAUGAUAAAAUAUUGUGCCAUUAAGGCAUUUCUAUCUAGAGUUAUAGAGUCAAUAUUAGUGUAUUUGUAGAAAGCUUCCUUGAGUCUGGAUGUUAUGAGUAAGCAAAUUCAUUGUCUUUAGAUAUGAACUACACUAUGAGGCUACAGUUGUGACUGGAAGAUCCAAAGAAAAGUGGUCAUCUCCAUAAACCAGUGGUUCUCAAGCUGUGGUUCAUGACCCCUCAGGGAAAGCGAACCACCCUUUCUUUCACAGGGGUCACAUAUCAGAUAUUCACAUUGUGAUUCAUAACAGUAGCAUAAUUAUAGUUAUGAAGUAGCAACAAGAAGUUACCAUUUUCUAGUAAGCAAAACAGAAGAAUUUCUGGGUUUCCCUUUGGUGACCUCUGAUUCUAGCAUGACCAAGUGGCUUAGUUUUGUUCUUUUUCAUUCACCCAAUAAGAAUCUUCAGGACGUUUGCUACCAUCUACAAUUCUUCCUCAGUAUUAUAAUCCAUGUCAGGUGGGGCAGUAGUUGUAUUCCUAGCAAACAUCUCUGCAUCCUUUCUAGCCGGUCAUAGCAUACACUCCAUCUCUAUGGUAGUGAAGAAAGCAGCAAGAACAUAUAUUCCUCUCCCAGGACAGGUCAACUGACAUAGUCAGAGUCUGGAACACACUAACAAAUGCAUCUACGUCUUCAGAAUAAGCAUUCAAUUUCUCCUUCGUUGCUGGUUGUCUGUCACUAAGAGGGGCACCUACACUGUUAUAAUCACUCUGGUCAGAAAGAGACUGUAGGGAGACACCCUAGCCCCACCCAAUAGUCCUGGGACAGAUGCCCCGCGGCCGGACGGCCAGCGGCCGGGCGGUGGAUUCGUUGGGCCCCAUGUCACCCGGGCUUUCCUUCACCACGCCCUUAUGGGCGAGUCCCGGGUCCACCUGGUACCUGUCCCAGGACUAUUGGGCGGGGCUAGGGUGUCUCCCUACAAGAGACCACUUCUUCUGCAUUGUACAGGGUUUCUCCUGCAAGUGUUCAAAACCAGUUGAAGUUCUGCUCCCUGGACUUUAAGGGGACCACCAGAAAGUGUAGGGAGGGAGACUAUUUUUUUUUCCUUGUGGCAUGGGAGGGUCAUCAUAAUUACUGCAAAGAGAGUGGACAUUGUCACUCCUAAGAUACAAAAGGACCUUAAAAUAGAGGGUCCCCCAUUGCAUGUAGAGUGUCUUCAUUUAUCUUCACAUUUUCUUUCCAGGAGUAGUGAUAGUAUAGAACCAUAAAAGCCUGGACAUGGGGUAUCCCAGACCAUUUCCCCUGUCUUCUACAGUGAGGAGCUAACUCUCAUGGGACGAAGGAUGAUGCUAUAGCUGAAGGCUGCCAUUUGAGGGCCACAUUUUUCUACAUCACAGCUAAUAUUGUUACCUAUGUAUCAUUAUCUAGGUCAAACUUCUGCCAAUGGGUAGAGAUAUACCUGAGGGGAGUAGAGUACAGUAAAACCAAAAGGGAGUUUCCUGUGAGUACUUGCAAUGAAGAGGAGAGUCCAAAAAAAUGGAGAACCGAUAACCCAUUUCCAUGAAAAGGGAAUCCACUUGAGAGGGGAGAAUAGGAUGAGGAUAUGGGUUUCUCGGGGUUCUCCCCAUGGACUCCGAACAUCCUCAGUGCCUUAGUUUGGAUGAACAUUAAAGCUUCUUUUUCAUCCUGGGCCUUUGAAGAAAGUUCUUUCUUUAGUAGGUUGUUAGCUGUGGUACCCCUUGAUGAAGACAUAGCCUUUUAGCUACCCUAAAGUUGGAGAACCUGGUCUCUUGCCAAUGAACCUCUUGAGAAAGGCGUUGAAUCAUGUGUCGAGUUACAGCCUGAGUGAGGGUUGGAGGAGAAGUUCUAUCUAUAGUUAGGAAUGGUGAGUGAUAAUUAGUAUAAUAAUUAUGAUCAGAUCCUGACAGGCCAUAUACCAGGUUAAGUAAGUCAAUAAAGGGCCAUGCUAUCAAAAUGUCUUCCCUCCCACUUUGGCAGGGAAUUUGAGGGGAACAUAACAUAAGGUGUUUCAUAAGUUUGGUCCAAGUAAAGAGUGACUCUUCCCUAAGCACAGAGGGAGGAUUAGUCAAGUUGACAUGACAGAAAGGACAUUCUCUCUCAAUCUUUGAAUCUAGAGACUCUAUUAUUUGAGGACUGUGGGGACCCCAAAGUUUAAUAAUGAGCUGUUUGAAGAAGUCACGAGAUGUUAAGUCACAGAACAAAGGGCUAAAACCACACAUACUGGUGUUAGUAGACAACAGAUGACUGAAAGCCAGGAGAAGCUGUCCAGCAAGGUCAACAGAAGUAGGCGACCCUAUUCUAGAAAAGAACGUAUCUCUGCAGUAAAUUAGAGUCUGGAGUUUUGUGUUUCUAGCCCUUUCAACUAUUUUCUUGCCUUUGCAGGCAAGCCUAUGGACUUCCCGAGCAGUACUGCAAGAUGUAUUCCUAGUGUUUGAAUUUCAAGAAUAGUAAAACUUGCAGAACCACAUCAGAUUUGUAUAAGAUCAAAAUGGAAAACAGAAAAAAAUAAGAUAGAGAGGGAAGAAAAAAUAUUUAUCAAUUCUGAGAAUGUAUAAGAGUUUGCUUUUGCUUCAGAGAGCAGAAACGAUAUUUUUAUAGGAAGAGGAAGUUUACCUUGCAGUUAGUUGGGGAAUGGCGCCUAUUGCUUCCUCCCCUUCCCCCUUUGUCAUCUUUUCUGUCUCUGGCAAAGGAGAUGGUGGGUGAAGUCCAGCCUUGGUCACCUGUAUUUUAUAGUGCAAGGAGAACUCAAUCUGAUGGUUCUUUUCAAGCAAAUUAAUUAGUUCAACUUGUCAUUACAGUCAUAGGUGUCCAAAUGAGAAGGGGGCCAUGAUGUAAUGAUGGAAGUGUUUAGCAGUGAUAUAGGAGAGAAUUUAUUUUCUUACCUUCUGGCUGGCUCAGCAGAUACUUUCCCAACGAUCAGGGUCAGAGUUGGGUUCAGAGCUCCAACCAUUCCCAGCUUCUUGGCCUCCUAUCCAAAGAGUGGAAAAACCAGAGCUCACAGGGAUUUGUAAAUGAAGCAAUAUAAAUUUACCCAUAGUGAAACAACGCUAAAUGCUACAGGGAUACACUGUUAAGAUUGAUGGUAGAACUCCCCCAAAAAUGGUAGUCAUGGGUCCCAUGUUCCAGCCUGAGAUCCUUUUUAAUAGUGUCUAAAGGACAGUAGGGCUGGUAACUAAGUAGCAUAUUUUGAGUGGUUUCCUAUUUUGAUUUUAGAUUAGGUUACAUAUCCAUUUUUCCUAUUGCACAUAUUUUCCCAUAAUACAUCUGUUUUUAAUCACAUAUAAGCAAAAUUAUGCAAAGGCAAGGAUGGUAAAUAUGGUUUUCUUCCUAAAAGUUCACUUGAAGGAACGAGCUUCCCUUACGGUACAUGUACCCCCAAACAAGUUCAGGUUGAACUGGCCCUUCCAUCCUUUACAUCAGAUACUUUGCAAAGGUGCUUGAAUGGAAGCUGUCUAAAUUUGAUUGUUGUCAGGGUCAAAGAAAGCUCUGGUAUUGUUCAAAAAGAGGUUUAUCUGUACCCUGAUAUAGGUGAGGGAUUAUUGGGAUUCUGGGGUUUCUUCAUGGAUUGUUUGGAGAAGGAUAUGUGUUCAUAGUGCAUGAAGCUAAGUGAGCUAAGCUACCAAGGAGAAUAGAUAACUUAAUAAGAUCCCAAGCUGCUGAAUUAGUCUCUGUGCUUUUAUUCUUCUCUCUGACCUCCACACUCAUGCUGUGUCAUGAGCAUGUGUAGAUACAAACAAAUAAAUAAAAACCUAUUUAGCUGUAAGUUAAUCAUAAUAGUGCUUAUAAAAAUGCAAUCUAUUUAAUAAUACUGUCUGAUAGUAGGAAAAUACACUCUUACAAAUAUAUAUAUAUAUAUACAUAUAUAUAUAUGUAUAUAUAUAUGCAUACAGUUUAACCAUACAUCAAGCCUGAACACAGAAACAUUAUAGUCAAUUAUUGGUAUACACAAGACUCAUUUUUCUAGUAGCUACAAAUUCUUCAAGUUGGACUUACAGAAAAUUAGAUAAACAGAAAAGAGUCAUUAACUCAAUUCUCUGGCAUUUUUCAUCUAGUAGAGGCAAAAUGUUUAUGAAACAUUAAUUCAUUUGCAGAGAUUACCAAAUGACCAUAAAAUAAACAAAAUUCGUCACUGAAACUCAACUGAAAAAGGCAAAAAGGUACCAGUCAAAUCAUUACCUGUUACCAACAGACCCUGCCUGGAACAUGGGGUCAAGACCUGAACUCACCUGUUUGUGCCAGUGAUUUUUGGGUAGAAACAGAGCUUCGAAGCUCUGGGCAGUCUUAUUACCUGGUGGAAGACGUGAAGGUAUUACACCAAGGUCCAUAUCCUGAGUUACAGCACCACUCUGCUAAACACCAAACCAGAUAGAGAGGAACAUUACUCACAUUGCUGUAAUCAGGAAACCACCUCCAGCUGGAGCUCACUCACUGCCGCGGUCUGCAGGAGCUCUAUAUACCUGAGUUCAAGCAAAGGGGUGUGGCCUAUGCUUGUUAUCAAAAGCAUGUAAGUUUUUUCAGUUAGUGAAUAACAGGAAAUGUCUGAUUCUUGGUACUGAUGAACACUUGAUAAAGAAGACGUUGAAGAAUCAGGUGGGUGACCGCAAGUCUCCUCACCUUCCACACCCAUCUGACACAUAGUCUCAUAUCUGCUAUGUAACUCAAGCUAGCUUUGAAUUAGUGGCAACACACCUGCCUUGCACUGAUGUGGUUUACAGAUAUGCCCACUCACACACAUCUUUCCACGGCUCUUCAUUUGCACUCAUCUAAGAUCAAUUUGCUUGUAACCUUUGCCCUUUAGAACCACUCUGUCCUCCUAAAUGGCUUUUCUUUCCUCCCUCCUUCCUUCCUUCCUUCCUUCCUUUAUUUUUCCAUCCUUCCUUUCUUCCACAAUUCAGUUUCUUCUGAAACACCAGAAGAAGCUAAAGUAAAAAUAUUAUUUUACUAUAUUACCAAUCUCUUAAAAAUACUUUGGGCCAGUGACAUACCACAGUCGGUAAAAUGAUCUACAACCAAGCCUGACUUAAGUUUGAUUCCCAGGGUCCGCAUGGUGAAGGAGAGAACCAACUAUUGCAAGUGGUCCUCUUACCUACACACACACACACACACACACUGUGACGCUCCCAUGUGCACACACAUAGAUAAGCAAAUGCGAUCAUUUCUAAAUGUUUGUAUUGCUCCUGAUUGAUACUGCCGAGCAUGAGAAUAAGACCCUGUUGUCUGACUCGACUCUCUACUUUAGCCAGUCUCUACAUCCCAGCUCUGCUGACAGCCAGUAGCCUUCUUACACCGUGUUCAUUUCCACUUCCAGCCUUCACCUGCUCCAAAGGCCCUCCUUCCAUCUUGCCAAGUCCUGACAUAUAAACAUUGGAGUUUCAGCAAUUCUACUGCCUUAGAACAGCUCCCACUGAUAAUGACAUAAUGCCACAGACUGGACAAGCUUCCGUAGAAAAUAGGUCUAUUUGGAGCUCAUGGACCUGAAAGACAAGGUUGUGAAUCCACAGUUGAUGACGGCCUUCUUUCUGGUAGAAUCAAAGUCAAUAUCAAGCGUGGUGGUUAACCUGCGUUGCCAGACUUGAUUGAGUGGAGAAAUGCCUACAAAAUUGCCAAGUCACUUGUCAAGGCCUUCAAACAAGAUGGGUAUUGAAAGAAAAAGCCUCCAGUCCAAGUCAACUUGAUGAGUGAGUGUCUGGGUCUUCUACAGAACAUGCAAGUCAUUUUGUGUCUACCUCACAUAGUAAUAAUGUGGACAACACAAGAACAACAACCAAAUGCACAGUAAACUUAUAACCAAUUGCAAAGCUGCAUGUUGAUUUCCAGUGAGAGCAUACUGUUAUACAAACAAUUGGCACUUUAUAAAAUUCUGUUCUUCUUGGGCCGCCUGCAUGUGGGAAACAGUUUUGUAGCCCGGACUGUUUGUGAAGACCCUGACAGUGGGAGUGGGAUCUAUCCCCAGUGCAUGAGCUGGCUUUUUGAAGCCCACUCCAUACAGUGGAAUGUCUUGCUGAGCCUUAAGCGGGGGAGGGGGCUUGGUCCUGCCUCAACUGAAUGAGCCAGGUGUGGUUAACUCCCCAUGGGAAGCCUUACCCUUUCUGAGGAGUAGAUGGGGUGGG